CUGCUUAAGGUUUUAUAGUGCUGAUAUAUGACUUGCACUAGUGCAGACUGUAAACACUAGUACUGGGAUUGUUGCAGCCUUAUUUCUGCUCGGGAAAAGGGCACAUCUCACUCAGCGGUCAGGCUGCUACGUGUUAACACCUCUUGGGUGGGGGAUCUCCGUGGAAGUCUUCGGGAUAUCAUUUUUUUCCGUGGAAGGGAAUAAAAGGCCCACGAACUCACGCUGACUGUCCGAUUCAAGGGAUACAAUCUUUUUUUUUCUUUUUGGUGAUGGUGCUGGUGCGGGGCAAUAACAUCGGACCAGUGGGCCCACUUGAUUCUGGACUUGCUGCUGACCUCUUAUCAAAGGAGAAUGUUAAGUCUUGGUAUUUUCUCAAAUGAUCGGUCUUGAAUUAUUGAUCUUAACAGGCUGCUAAUCUGUGCGGUAAAUCUAAUGUUGGCUUUCAUUUACAUCUGACGCCCUUAAAUGUGAGCUCCGCAUAUCUCGUUGGACCAUCGUGGUUAUUUAUUAUGUAUAAGGCUGAGGGUACUUUCAGAUCUGCCGAGGGGAGAUGAUGGGAAUGGAAGAGGGCACGCAUGGCUUUGAGGAGGAGGAGUGGACAUUGAACCCAACAUGGCGCCCGAGUUAAACGAUGAAGUGCAAGUGGAGGUGCCUACGAGAUCUGCAGAACAACCAGAUUGAUGCAAUAGUGACGAUCAUAAUGCCGGCCUGUUUUCUCCAAAACAUGUGCAUCGGUGCUUCAGAGAUAUGUCAGGAACACCCAAAUGGAUGCCCAAGACAGACACAGUCGCAGGUUGCUGCUCGACACAAGCAGAACGGAGUUCAAAGUCUACUCUCACAGGCAGAACGGAGUUCAAAGUCUACUCUCAUUGAGGAGCCACGGAACUGCAGUCUGGUCUGGCUGCCUACAACAACUCCGACCCCCACUCCUGCAUCGCACCCACAGUGGACGCGCCACGAACGGCGAAGGAGGAAGCAGAAGCGAGCUCCUAACCCGGAAGGGCAGAAAUCCCCCAAUCUCACUCACGGGCUACAGAGAAGCAGCCACUUAGCCCGCAUCAUGACCAUAAGCCGCGCCGCCAGGACAAUUUUACCUACUUUGAAUUUCAGCAGGACAACACACAUCUGUGGCCGCCGAAGGGUGCGCCAUAAGCGGCCACAGCCACGCGACGCGCACCAGUCCUCGUGGAUGAAUGUUUUUCCUUCCUGCUCCUCGCCCCACAAUAUGCAGCCGACAACUGUGAGGUUAACAGCCGUUACGAUGUUGUGCCGCACUUCCGGCAGCUUCUCUAACUGUUGUCGGGCUAGCAAUGGGCUGCGGCGGUUCCCAUCCAUUUUGUCACUGCCUCGCAACGCAAUGCGCGUGCUGCCAGAUGGCAAGACACUGUCGCGCAAAUAACACAAAACAUAUGACACUUCAGGGAAGAUGUAUUUUAUCGAGUUGUAGGCAUUGUUUGAUGCCCAAUUGUAUGCUAUACUGGUAGUAAUGGGUUAAAGGUUAUCAUGAAUGAGGAAUUGGCAAUUCCGCCAAAUGGCCACUGCAUGGAAUAACGGCUCUUGGUGUUUAAAUAGCGGGGGAGGGCCUCAUGCUAGAAAGUCUACGCCCCAGCUCGCUGUCGUCAUUGGGCUAGUUUUAAGGCCUGUUGCAAAAAUCUGGCCAACUGAGACGAUGAAAAAUAAUGAUAAGCUAUAUUUCAAUAAUUCAGAAUUAAGUAGUUCUGUCUUUACACAUUUUCAGCACUUAACUUCAAACAUAUUGAAUGUAUUUAGAAACAAAAUACGACUACGAGUUAGUUCAACUUUAAGUCCAUCCAAAUUGAGCCACGAGUACCUGAAAUUUAUCAUCAUCAUUUGAGUUUUACAUACAGUGCCGUGAAAAAGUAUUGUCCCCCUUCUCAAAUUCUUAUAUUUUUGCACAAUUUUCCUAUAUUAAUGUUUAAGAUUAUCGAACAAAUGUAAAUAUCAGACAAAUUAUAACCCAAGUGAACUUAAAAUGCUGUUUUAAAGAAUUUCAUUUAUUAAGGGAAAAAAACUAUUCAGUUACCUGGCCCUGUGUGAAAAAGUAAUUACACCCCUUGUUAAAAAAUCAUGAAUUAAUUGUGGUUAAUCACAACCUUUGGUUAAUUUUCACUAAACCCCGAUUAUCUUAAAACCUGUUUAAUCAAGAACUCACUUAAGCAGAACCUGUUGAACAAAAUCAAGCCAGACAAAAGAUCUAAAAAAGAUGCAACAAAAUGACACGAUCCAAACAAAUUCAAGAACAGUCAAGAAAUAAACUAAUUGACAUCAGUCAGUCUGGAAAGGGUUACAAAGCCAUUUCUAAUGCUUUAGGAUUGUAGUGAAUCAUAGAGCCAUUAACCUCAAAUGGAGAAAUUAUGGAACAGUGGUGAACCUUCCCAGGAGUGGCCGGCCUAUGAAGAUUACCCCAACAGAACAGCAAUGUCUCAUCUAGGAGGCCACAAAGGAACUCACGACAACUUCUUAAUAACUGCAGGCCUCCCUUGCCUCAGUUAAGGUCAGUGUUCAUGAUACAACAAUAAGGAAGAGACUGGGCAAAAAUGGCUUCCUUGGCAGAAUUCCAAGGCGAAAAAUAUUGCUGACUGAAAAGAAAAUCAAGGCUCGUCUUACUUUUGCAAAAAAAGAAAAAACAACAACAACAAAAAACAUCUGAAUGAUUCCCAAGACUUUUGGGAGAAUAUUAUAUGGACUGACGAGAUAAAAGUUGAGAUUUUUUGAAGGCGUGUGUCUCGUUACAUUUGGGGUAAAUGUAGCACAGUAUUUCAGAAAAAUAACAUCCUACCAACAGUCAAACAUGGUGGUGGUAGUGUGAUAUGAUUGAUGGAGCCAUGAAUUUUGCUCUAUAACAGGAAAUCCUGAAGCCAUAAGGUUGGUGACCUCAAGCAGAAGCACACUUGGGUUCAGGAUAAUGAACACACCAGCAAGUCAACUUCUGAAUGGCUUAAAAACAUUAAAAAUGAAGGCUUUUGAGUGGCCUAGUCCAAGUCCAGACUUGAAUCCGAUUGAAAUGCAGUGGAAUGACCUUAAAUAGGCCGUUCAUGCUCGAAAACCCUAAAUUUUUGCUGAAUUCAAACCAUUCUGCAAGGAAAAGUGGGCAAAAAUAUUUCCACAGAGAUGUGAAAGACUCAUUGCCAGGUAUAGAAAACGUUUGAUUUCAGUUGUUGCUGUUGAGGAUGGACCAACCAGCCAUUAGUUUUUCACACAGGGCCAGGUAACUGAGUAGUUGGUUUUCUCCUUAAUAAAUGAAAUCAUCAUUUUAAAAACAGCAUUUUACAGUUCACCUGGGUUAUAUUUGUCUAUUUAGGUUUGUUUGGUAAUCUGAAAUAUUAAAGUGGGGAAACUGUGCAAGAAUGUAAGAAGUUGAGAUACUUUUUUCACGGCACUGUAGGUAUUUUUGAAUCUUCACAAAGAAUGAACUAAAAAGAGCAGCUAAUCAUUAAACAGCCACGAUACAAAAUUGGGAUGUGAACUAAAAAUGUGAACUAAUGCAUCUUUGUCCACAUUUUGGUCAUGCCACGUGUUAAAAAUACAUGUUUUUCUCUUCUGUAUUCACCUCCUCAAGUCAAGACACCACUCAUCUGUAUCCUCUUCCUUGUGAUCUUGUGAUCAUCAUUUCAUCAUUACUAGAAUGAUUUGUGCUGAGAGCUGUGCUGCAUUCCUUUAGAAGAUAAUAAAUAUGUUCCUCCAAAUAUAUCAAGGCUUGUGCUACUUGGCCUGCAGCCAUGCAUUCAGACACUGAGGAACAUAUGGUUUUAAUUUGAGCACAACUGUGAAAUAUGGCUGGAGUUAGCCUUUACGGAGCCUGCAGUCAAUUUUCCAUCUUAAAGAAAGAAAACGCGAUGUUUGGAGAUGGUGAUGGGAUGAGGACUUCCGCUGCUCUUCCAUCCUUACUCUAUAUUUGCCCCCACCCCUACACACACACCUUCCCCAAACCCCACUAUACAAACAUACACGAUUCAUAAAAUGCAAAGAUACAUAAUGUGAUUGGGGGAAGACCACCACAAUUGUCUGGUCUAUUUACCUGCUGGUUUAGAGUGGUUCAGCUAUGGGAUGUGGUCAAGUUGAGAAUAAUGCAGGAGCAUAACUCAUAAAUACCACAACGCUAGCUGCACCCAGGUGUGCACAAGAUGACGUUGUAUCCGCACAGCUAAACAAGUAGUACUUCAAUGGAUGAGCCAGACAAAGUGUUGUAAUAAUUGCUACUCAUUUGGGUACUCACAGCUGCAAAAGAUUAGAAGGGGUUAGAAUUCACAUUUUUUAAUCCCACAAGAAAGGGAUUAGUGUGGCAGCAAUGAUAGGAAAAUGGUCCUGCUGUACAUUUUGUCUCUCUGAGUUAUUGUAUACUCACAGUUACCAAUUUACCCAUUUCUAUUGUAGUUUAUAUCAGAGCUACACUCCUCUGUCUCAUUUAGAAAGAGACAAAUAAGGCGGGACAAGGUGAGUUGUUGUCUGCUACUCAGCUCUCUCUUUAUCCUUCUAUGUCGCUCAUUGAUUGGAUGUGGUACUCCAUUCACUUUUAUAAUGUUUAUUAACACAGUAUAACUAAAAGUGCAGACAGACAAAAUAAAAGUGUCAUGAACGGAACAGAGGAUAGGACCCAAAAAUGCACGACUCCAAAACAAAUUGACAGUUUCCAAAAAGAGAGGUUUAAUAGACGGGCAUAGGUCGGUACACAGGCAGGCAAUCCAAAAGAGGCAACAGUAUCCAAAAACAUGAGGCAAAGAGACAAGGUCGAUAAUCGGAACAGGGUCAGGUCUUACUGUGAAUCUAUGACGUGGAAACAAGGAAUGCUGGAACGCGACGACAAGGUACAACGAACUGGCAACGAGAGGAAAUGAGACACGAGGUUAUAUACAAGGGGUAAUUAGGGUGAACGAGGCACAGGUGAUGAAGAUGCUCACAUGAGCAGGUGUGUGUGAAACAGGGGGGAAGACAAAACCCGGAACACACACACAUAUGACAGUACCCCCCCCUUAACGGCCGGCCCCAGACGGCCCUGGGGCCCCUGGAUGCGCAACGUGGAAGUCCCGAAUGAGCGAAUCAUCCACGAUAAACGCAGACGGUACCCAGGAACGCUCCUCAGGCCCAUAGCCCUCCCAGUCCACCAGAUAUUGAAACCCCCUGCCCCUCCGACGAGAUGACAACAGCCGCUUCACAGAGAAGACAGGGCCCCCAUCCACAAACCGGGGGGGAGGAGGGGGCCUGGAAGGCGGGACCAGAGGGGACUCCCGGGCUGGCUUGAGUAGGCUGACGUGAAAAGUAGGGUGGACCCGCAUAGACCUUGGGAGCCUCAGCUUCACGGUGACAGGGUUGAUUAUUUUUGUGAUGGGGAAGGGCCCAACGAACCUGGGAGCGAGCUUCUUGGACUCCACCCGGAGUGGAAUAUGUUUGGUCGAAAGCCAAACUCGCUGACCCACUUUGUAGUUCGGGGCCGGUGUCCUCCGACGGUCAGCAGCGGCUUUGUAGGACCGUCCCUGGCGCAGCAGCAUCUGGCGGGCUCGCUCCCAGGUCCUCCUGCAGCGUCUCACCAAGGUUAAUGCCGCUGGAACUGUGGAUUCUGGG